rnacentral:rRNA from 1 species
UACGGGGGGGGCAAGCGUUGUUCGGAAUUACUGGGCGUAAAGGGCUCGUAGGCGGCCAACUAAGUCAGACGUGAAAUCCCUCGGCUUAACCGGGGAACUGCAUCUGAUACUGGAUGGCUUGAGUUCGGGAGAGGGAUGCGGAAUUCCAGGUGUAGCGGUGAAAUGCGUAGAUAUCUGGAGGAACACCGGUGGCGAAGGCGGCAUCCUGGACCGACACUGACGCUGAGGAGCGAAAGCUAGGGUAGCGAACAGG